UACGUAGGUGGCGAUCGUUGUCCGGAUUUACUGGGCGUAAAGGGAGCGUAGGCGGACUUUUAAGUGAGAUGUGAAAUACCCGGGCUCAACCUGGGUGCUGCAUUUCAAACUGGAAGUCUAGAGUGCAGGAGAGGAGAAUGGAAUUCCUAGUGUAGCGGUGAAAUGCGUAGAGAUUAGGAAGAACACCAGUGGCGAAGGCGAUUCUCUGGACUGUAACUGACGCUGAGGCUCGAAAGCGUGGGGAGCAAACAGGAUUAGAUACCCU
rnacentral:rRNA from 1 species